rnacentral:rRNA from 1 species
AGAGCGAACGCUGGCGGCAGGCCUAAAACAUGCAAGUCGAACGGACCCUUCGGGGUUAGUGGCGGACGGGUGAGUAACACGUGGGAACGUGCCUUUUGGUUCAGAACAACUCAGGGAAACUUGAGCUAAUACUGAAUAAGCCCUACGGGGGAAGAUUUAUCGCCAUUAGAGCGGCCCGCGUUGGAUUAGCUAGUUGGUGAGGUAAAGGCUCACCAAGGCUACGAUCCAUAGCUGGUCUGAGAGGAUGAUCAGCCACACUGGGACUGAGACACGGCCCAGACUCCUACGGGAGGCAGCAGUUAGGAAUCUUGCGCAAUGGGCGAAAGCCUGACGCAGCCAUGCCGCGUGAAUGAUGAAGGUCUUAGGAUUGUAAAAUUCUUUCAGCGGGGAAGAUAAUGACUGUACCCGCAGAAGAAGCUCCGGCUAACUUCGUGCCAGCAGCCGC